GGUUUUAUGGUGUAAUGGUUAGCACUCUGGACUUUGAAUCCGCGAUCCGAGUGUCAAGUCUCGGUAAAACUU
rnacentral:tRNA from 1 species